rnacentral:rRNA from 1 species
GACAAAGACGUGGCAGCGGCGGCUGUAACACCUGCUGUGCGUGGGUUAAUAGGAAGUUCAUGGGGUAAAGCUUGCGCAGGCGGUGUUGUAGGCAGUAUGUGAAGUCCCCGGGCUUAACUUGUUGACUGCGUGUGUAACUACAAGACUAGGUUGUGUCAGAGGGGGGUAGAAUUCCACGUGUAGCAGUGAAAUGCGUAGAGAUGUGGAGGAAUACCGAUGGCGAAGGCAGCCCCCUGGGAUAACACUGACGCUCAUGCACGAAAGCGUGGGGAGCAAACAGGAUUAGAUACCCGUGUAGUC